UGCCUCAUACAGGGGGAUAGCAGUCGGAAACGACUGAUAACACCGCAUAAGCGCACGGUAUCGCAGUGAUACAGUGUGAAAAAUAUUUAUAGGUAUGAGAUGGACCCGCGUCUGAUUAGCUAGUUGGUGAGGUAACGGCCCACCAAGGCGACGAUCAGUAGCCGGCCUGAGAGGGCGGACGGCCACAUUGGGACUGAGACACGGCCCAAACUCCUACGGGAGGCAGCAGUGGGGGAUAUUGCACAAUGGGCGAAAGCCUGAUGCAGCGACGCCGCGUUGAGUGAAGAAGUAUUUCGGUAUGUAAAGCUCUAUCAGCAGGGAAGAAAGACCUCGUAAGAGGGGAUGACGGUACCUGAGUAAGAAGCCCCGGCUAACUACGUGCCAGCCGCUGC
rnacentral:rRNA from 1 species